AUGGAGAAUGUGCAGUAUGCCGAAGAACUCGUGAGGGAGUUUCUUGUCUUUAGGGGUUUCACGAACACGCUGCAAGCUUACGAGGCAGAAUUGUCCACCGAGAUCGGCAGGAACUUUGAAGUAGACAAGAUCCUAGAUUUAGUGUUCUCAGUGUACAUACCAAAAUACCAACUGGACAGACUGCUAAGCAUCUUCAGCUUUUUAAAACAGUGUUUCACUUCACCUGCGGACACGGUACUCUACACGGCGCUUCUUAAACUGGAGCAGUCAGUAUUACGAUAUUAUGUUGUCAAUGCCUUGAAGUCUGGAAGGCAAGAAAAAGUUGUUGAAUUCUUUAGCGCAAGCGGCAGUUAUCUGAUGCAAAAGCGUGAAGAUUGGAUAGCAUGGUUUGCUAUACCAUAUAUUAAGAACCCAAGCUUGGAUCCACAGUUCCGUAUGUAUUUUUCCAAAGAAUGGUCAGACACUUUGGUUCUUUCAUUUCGGAACUUCUUAAGUGGGAUAUUCAAUGGUACUCGAAUCCCAGCUCUUUUGAAGAUUAGCACUGAAAAGAACAUGAUCAAGUGCCUCAAGAGUGACAUAAAGCAACUGAAUAACAAAUUGUCAGAACUGCAAGCAUUGUUAGAGGUGAAGGAAGUUGAACUAUCUCUGCUGAGAAGGAGUGGUAAUAGUAUUGAUUCUGGACACAAGAAUUUACUCGAGAUUACUACAUUUGGUUCUUCCGUUGAUGGACAAGCUUUCUCAGGAGUCUACGAAGAAUCCUCAACUUCAAGUAUACAGGGUGUUGAUUCACAUACUUUGAGUUCAGUAAAAUCAAGAGAUGAGAAAUUGUGUGAUUCUUCUAGGAUGAGCAAUGCAGAAAAUGAGCAGAUUUUGGUGUCAGAGGAAGAUUUUCCUGAAGUGAAGGUGGAUUUUCAGGAAACAUUUUUAGGCCAUAACAGUUCCAUAAGUAGCUGUCGGUUUUCUGCUUCUGGAUCAAAUAUUGCCAGUUCUUCGACUGAUGGCACAGUGAGAAUCUGGACAUACGACUCAUCAACACCAUCAUCAAAAAAUGCAACUAUAUACUGUGGAGCUGAAGUCAGCGCACUUUCUUGGGAAUGCAGAUCUGACCGCUUGCUGCUCAUAGGCACAGCUAAUGGAGGCAUUAAAGCUUGGAAUGCUGAUGCAAAGAGAGUUGUUUGUGACCUCAGUACAUCCAAGGACUUCCCAAGUGUGCUUGAUUUGAAGUGUAGCCCUGUAGAUCCUGUGUUCGUCUCUGCAGCUGCAUCGAGACGGCAUGGGUCAACUAUAUUUGACAGAACAGGAUUUGCCUCCUUGACAGUAUGGCAUAUGAAAACAUGGAAGCCUCUGACAGUCCUCCCUCUUGGCGAGGAUCCACCUGCUAUUACUUCACUUUGCUUCAAUCACAAUGGGAAGAUCUUGGCAGCAUCUGCAACAGAUGGCAUGAUUCACAUGUUUGACAUGUCUGCUGGUCUACAAAUCACUGGAUGGCCUGCCCAUGAUUCCCCUGUCAGCUCAGUUCUUUUUGGGCCAGCUGAAACAAGCAUCUUCAGUUUAGGCUCAGAUGGAAAGAUAUUUGAGUGGAGCUUGCACAAUCAAGGUCAGAUUAUUUGGUCAAGAGAUUGCAGUAGGUUUUGCAACCCUGAGAGCUUUAACAAACGCAUGCAUGAGGUAGCGUUGGAUUCUAAUGGCAAGAGGCUUCUUGCUACGUCGGGUUUGGUUCGGGCUCCAAUAUACCAGGUGCAGGGCCAUGAGAGAGGGUUGAGGACACUUCCUCAUACUGCACCUAUAACAAGUGUGGACUGGCACCCCACGCGGCCAAUCUAUGUUACCGGUUCUGAAGACCACUCUGUCCGCGUCACAUCCAUUCUAUGA
rnacentral:rRNA from 1 species